GUUGGAACGUUAACAUUUGCUAUAUUCGGUUGAAUUUUUUAUUUAAGCUCUACAUUGUCCUUUUUGGAAUUUCAUAAUUGACACUCGAAAGCAAAAAUCAUUUUUAUAUUAAAAAUAUCCAACUUAUUCUAAAUCAACUUGCAAAAAUUAUUCUAAAAAAAAAACUUGCAUAAAUUAGGGACCAUAACACUCGGAAAUUCUCAAGUUUCAUAUAUAAAAAAACAAUACACUCUUUUACCACUAAUAUAAUUCAACUUAUUCAUACAUAUGAAAUAAAAAUGCCGAAAAUUUGAUAAAGAUAAAAAUAAAAUUGAAAAUAUGCUGGAUCUGUUAAUAAUGUGAAGGAAAAAAGAAAAAGAAAAAAAAAGAGUCAAAUAGAAGAAAUCCAGCGAGGAAAAGCCACGUGUCAGACGCCGACACCACCCAUUUAGGCUUUGCUGUGUCUGCUACGAGAACGACAAACCGACAGCACCCUAAGAUGCCACGUCACUAUUUACGCGGGACCCACAAGGAGACUCUGUAGGGUCCACGUAGGAAGACUACAAAGAAAAAC
rnacentral:lncRNA from 1 species